rnacentral:rRNA from 1 species
AGAGUUUGAUCCUGGCUCAGGACGAACGCUGGCGGCGUGCCUAAUACAUGCAAGUCGAGCGCAGGAAGCUAACCGAUCCCCUUCGGGGGUGACGUUAGUGGAAUGAGCGGCGGACGGGUGAGUAACACGUGGGCAACCUGCCUGUAAGACCGGAAUAACCCCGGGAAACCGGGGCUAAUGCCGGAUAACCUCUUCUCUCUCAUGAGGAAAGAGUAAAAGAUGGCCUUUGGCUAUCACUUACAGAUGGGCCCGCGGCGCAUUAGCUAGUUGGUGAGGUAACGGCUCACCAAGGCGACGAUGCGUAGCCGACCUGAGAGGGUGAUCGGCCACACUGGGACUGAGACACGGCCCAGACUCCUACGGGAGGCAGCAGUAGGGAAUCUUCCGCAAUGGACGAAAGUCUGACGGAGCAACGCCGCGUGAACGAUGAAGGUUUUCGGAUCGUAAAGUUCUGUUGUGAGGGAAGAACAAGUACCGUGCGAAUAGAGCGGUACCUUGACGGUACCUCACGAGAAAGCCCCGGCUAACUACGUGCCAGCAGCCGCGGUAAUACGUAGGGGGCAAGCGUUGUCCGGAAUUAUUGGGCGUAAAGCGCGCGCAGGCGGUUCCUUAAGUCUGAUGUGAAAGCCCACGGCUCAACCGUGGAGGGUCAUUGGAAACUGGGGAACUUGAGGACAGAAGAGGAGAGUGGAAUUCCACGUGUAGCGGUGAAAUGCGUAGAUAUGUGGAGGAACACCAGUGGCGAAGGCGACUCUCUGGUCUGUUUCUGACGCUGAGGUGCGAAAGCGUGGGUAGCAAACAGGAUUAGAUACCCUGGUAGUCCACGCCGUAAACGAUGAGUGCUAGGUG